rnacentral:SRP_RNA from 1 species
GCCAGGCAGGGUGGCAUGUGCCUGUAAUCCCAGCUACUCGGGAGGCUGAGGCAGGGAAUCACUUGAACCCGGGACGCGGAGGUUGCAGUGAGCCAAGAUCAUGGUACUGCACUGCAGCCUGGGCAACAGAGUGAAAAUUUUUAUUUAUUUAUUUAUGUUUUUGAGACAGAGUCUCACUCUGUUGCCCAGGCUGGAGUGCAGUGGCGUGAUCUAGGCUCACUGCAACCUCCACCUCCUGGGUUCAAGCGAUUCUCCUGCCUCAG